rnacentral:tRNA from 1 species
GGAGAAGUAUCGAAGUGGUCAUAACGGCCCUCACUCGAAAUGAGGUAGUCACGAAAGUGGCUCGUGGGUUCGAAUCCCACCUUCUCCGCCA